CCUACGGGAGGCAGCAGUGGGGAAUAUUGCGCAAUGGGGGCAACCCUGACGCAGCAACGCCGCGUGAUUGAAGAAGGCCUUCGGGUUGUAAAGAUCUUUAAUUGGGGACGAAACAAAUGACGGUACCCGAAGAAUAAGCUCCGGCUAACUACGUGCCAGCAGCCGCGGUAAUACGUAGGGAGCAAGCGUUAUCCGGAUUUAUUGGGUUUAAAGGGUGCGCAGGCGGAAGAUCAAGUCAGCGGUAAAAUUGAGAGGCUCAACCUCUUCGAGCCGUUGAAACUGGUUUUCUUGAGUGAGCGAGAAGUAUGCGGAAUGCGUGGGGUAGCGGUGAAAUGCAUAGAUAUCACGCAGAACUCCGAUUGCGAAGGCAGCAUACCGGCGCUCAACUGACGCUCAUGCACGAAAGUGUGGGUAUCGAACAGGAUUAGAUACCCCGGUAGUC
rnacentral:rRNA from 1 species